CAAUGAAUUGACGGGGCCGCACAAGCGGUGGAGCAUGUGGUUUAAUUCGAUGCAACGCGAAGAACCUUACCUGGUCUUGACAUCCCGGAGACCCUUAGGAAACUAGGGGGUGCUUCCAUCUGGAAGAAUCUGGAGACAGGUGCUGCAUGGCUGUCGUCAGCUCGUGUCGUGAGAUGUUGGGUUAAGUCCCGCAACGAGCGCAACCCUUGCCUUUAGUUGCCAGCAGUUCGGCUGGGCACUCUAAAGGGACUGCCGGUGUUAAACCGGAGGAAGGUGGGGAUGACGUCAAGUCCUCAUGGCCUUUAUGACCAGGGCUACACACGUACUACAAUGGCCGAUACAAAGGGCAGCGACACUGCGAGGUGAAGCCAAUCCCGUAAAAUCGGUCUCAGUCCGGAUUGGAGUCUGCAACUCGACUCCAUGAAGUUGGAAUCGCUAGUAAUCGUGGAUCAGCAUGCCACGGUGAAUACGUUCCCGGGCCUU
rnacentral:rRNA from 1 species